GAUGAACGCUGGCGGCGUGCCUAAUACAUGCAAGUCGAGCGAACGGACGAGAAGCUUGCUUCUCUGAUGUUAGCGGCGGACGGGUGAGUAACACGUGGAUAACCUACCUAUAAGACUGGGAUAACUUCGGGAAACCGGAGCUAAUACCGGAUAAUAUUUUGAACCGCAUGGUUCAAAAGUGAAAGACGGUCUUGCUGUCACUUAUAGAUGGAUCCGCGCUGCAUUAGCUAGUUGGUAAGGUAACGGCUUACCAAGGCAACGAUGCAUAGCCGACCUGAGAGGGUGAUCGGCCACACUGGAACUGAGACACGGUCCAGACUCCUACGGGAGGCAGCAGUAGGGAAUCUUCCGCAAUGGGCGAAAGCCUGACGGAGCAACGCCGCGUGAGUGAUGAAGGUCUUCGGAUCGUAAAACUCUGUUAUUAGGGAAGAACAUAUGUGUAAGUAACUGUGCACAUCUUGACGGUACCUAAUCAGAAAGCCACGGCUAACUACGUGCCAGCAGCCGCGGUAAUACGUAGGUGGCAAGCGUUAUCCGGAAUUAUUGGGCGUAAAGCGCGCGUAGCGGUUUUUUAAGUCUGAUGUGAAAGCCCACGGCUCAACCGUGGAGGGUCAUUGGAAACUGGAAAACUUGAGUGCAGAAGAGGAAAGUGGAAUUCCAUGUGUAGCGGUGAAAUGCGCAGAGAUAUGGAGGAACACCAGUGGCGAAGGCGACUUUCUGGUCUGUAACUGACGCUGAUGCGCGAAAGCGUGGGGAUCAAACAGGAUUAGAUACCCUGGUAGUCCACGCCGUAAACGAUGAGUGCUAAGUGUUAGGGGGUUUCCGCCCCUUAGUGCUGCAGCUAACGCAUUAAGCACUCCGCCUGGGGAGUACGACCGCAAGGUUGAAACUCAAAGGAAUUGACGGGGACCCGCACAAGCGGUGGAGCAUGUGGUUUAAUUCGAAGCAACGCGAAGAACCUUACCAAAUCUUGACAUCCUUUGACAACUCUAGAGAUAGAGCCUUCCCCUUCGGGGGACAAAGUGACAGGUGGUGCAUGGUUGUCGUCAGCUCGUGUCGUGAGAUGUUGGGUUAAGUCCCGCAACGAGCGCAACCCUUAAGCUUAGUUGCCAUCAUUAAGUUGGGCACUCUAAGUUGACUGCCGGUGACAAACCGGAGGAAGGUGGGGAUGACGUCAAAUCAUCAUGCCCCUUAUGAUUUGGGCUACACACGUGCUACAAUGGACAAUACAAAGGGCAGCGAAACCGCGAGGUCAAGCAAAUCCCAUAAAGUUGUUCUCAGUUCGGAUUGUAGUCUGCAACUCGACUACAUGAAGCUGGAAUCGCUAGUAAUCGUAGAUCAGCAUGCUACGGUGAAUACGUUCUCGGGUCU
rnacentral:rRNA from 1 species